rnacentral:rRNA from 1 species
GACGAACGCAGGCGGCGUGCCUAAUACAUGCAAGUCGAACGAGAGCAACCGGUGCUUGCACUGGUCAAUCUAGUGGCGAACGGGUGAGUAACACGUGGGUAACCUGCCCAUCAGAGGGGGAUAACAUCCGGAAACGGAUGCUAAAACCGCAUAGGUCUUCGAACCGCAUGGUUUGAAGAGGAAAAGAGGCGCAAGCUUCUGCUGAUGGAUGGACCCGCGGUGCAUUAGCUAGUUGGUGAGGUAACGGCUCACCAAGGCCGUGAUGCAUAGCCGACCUGAGAGGGUGAUCGGCCACAUUGGGACUGAGACACGGCCCAAACUCCUACGGGAGGCAGCAGUAGGGAAUCUUCCGCAAUGGACGCAAGUCUGACGGAGCAACGCCGCGUGAGUGAAGAAGGUUUUCGGAUCGUAAAACUCUGUUGUUAGAGAAGAACAAGUGCUAGAGUAACUGUUAGCGCCUUGACGGUAUCUAACCAGAAAGCCACGGCUAACUACGUG